rnacentral:ncRNA from 2 species
AUCUACCCAACCAGAGCCGGUUUCCGAGAGGAACUAAUAGGGAAUUCGCCAUGGUUCUCCUCCCUGAGGAGCACCAUGAACCGAAACUGCCCCCGCAACUGUAGGCGGCGAGCCAGCGUCCGGAGAUGCCACUGGGAGCGAUCCCGGGAAGGUCGGCGCAGGCGAUGACCCGCCAGUCAGGAGACCUGCCGGCAUGUGUCGUGAAAC